CGGUGGUGCGGCACCCGCGGCGGCUGAGGGGCAGCGGCGGAGCCGGAGCGCGGCCGGUGCAGAAAAAGAUUGACUUGAUCAACCUGCAAUAUGAAGUUACAAUAGGGAGGACAUUCCCAUGGUUUUAAGGCACUGGUGGUCUGCGCCUUUCUGUUUUUAUGCCAAGUUCUCCUCCUGCCCCAUAAAAGCCCAAGAGGAUGUUGAAAAAUCCCAUUUGUACCACGAACAAGGGAGGUGUUCUCCAGCAGAAAAGGACUCUUCACUGCCCAGUGGUCUGUGGAGCAAGGUUGUGUUUCUGGGCAGCACUGUGCCUCCAACCCACAGAGCAGCUUCCUCGAGACCCAUCUUCCCAGCAGGUUCCUUUCUGCAAAGGGCUGUAGGGUGUGUGCAGCCAUCUAAGCUCCUGCACUUGUUCUUCUGAAAAUGGGAGAGGUCUGAGACAACUCUGUUCCCUCACCCAUGCAGUCCUUGUUAAAUCAUCUGCACAAAAAGGCUCCGUUUGGUGGCCUUUCCAUUUUGGAAAAAGGAAAGAUGCAUUUGUAAUCCUCAUCUCAGUGGUCCAGGGAGACCUACAGACAUAAGGUUGGUCUGACUAUGAAUGCUCAAGGCACAAGCAUGCGUGAUCCAGGGAAAGCCACACACACCCCUGGCCAACACAUCUCUGUGCUAAGCAGGUGGCAACACUGCAUUACUGCUGAUUGGAAACCCCAGCCACUGCUUCUGCAUAAAGUACUGCUGACAGAGAAGUGAAGACCAUUGCUGUUGAGCACUGUAAUGCAGGACCAAACACAGGACAAGGCAGUGAAAGCUGUUGUGA